CAAAUAUUUUUAGCUCAGUCCCUGUCAGUACAUGUAUUAUGCACACAAGCCCCCCGACGUUCGAAUUCACACAAAACGACACAUAAAAUAUAAUCCUUUUCGUGAUUUUACCGUUUUUGCCCAUUUCAACCCCUCUGCGAACUUUUUCCGAUUUCCGGAGAUCCGUCCAUCAGAUUUUCGAUCGGACUGCGCCAUCGGCAUCGGAACUACAAUUUUGUUUCAUCCGAUUCGGUUGCCGAUUACGACGAAACAAAUACCCUCUUUUCGAUAAAACUCAUUUUUCUCGAAAAUCGUGCAUCAAAACCCAAAUCUGUCAGUGCCAUUGGUUCCAGGGCAGUCAAACCGUUGAAAACAAGCUAUUGGAUCACUAUGGACGGAGUCCAAUACGCACUAGAAGCCAUCUCCACUCAUUGGCUUCUCUGGAAAACCAGAGUUACUAUUCACUUUAAGUGAUUAGUACAGGUCACGUAACUUCUCCAUCCUAACUUGUUUUCUCCUGAAACUUGACGAGUGUCUAUGUAAUUAAAUUACACAAAAAAACAUCGUCAACACAGAGUUUACCUAC
rnacentral:lncRNA from 1 species